UUCUCUUUAUAUUAAGAAACAGUUUAUUGUAUUAAAAGAUAUUUUGUAUUGAUGAAACUUCUGACGUGACCUAUUGUUUACUAUGCAUAUUGUUUGUAAAAUUAUGCCAUAUAUAUACACUGUACAUGUACUUGUUUAUUCUAGUGAGCCUUAAGGCUCAAAGUUAAUAAAGAAUGAAAAUAAGAAAAGCACAUAUUAUACACG
rnacentral:lncRNA from 1 species